CCUACGGGAGGCAGCAGUGAGGAAUAUUGGUCAAUGGACGAGAGUCUGAACCAGCCAAGUAGCGUGAAGGAUGACUGCCCUAUGGGUUGUAAACUUCUUUUAUAUGGGAAUAAAACGUUCCACGUGUGGGAUUUUGUUUGUACCAUAUGAAUAAGGAUCGGCUAACUCCGUGCCAGCAGCCGCGGUAAUACGGAGGAUCCGAGCGUUAUCCGGAUUUAUUGGGUUUAAAGGGAGCGUAGGUGGAUUGUUAAGUCAGUUGUGAAAGUUUGCGGCUCAACCGUAAAAUUGCAGUUGAAACUGGCAGUCUUGAGUACAGUAGAGGUGGGCGGAAUUCGUGGUGUAGCGGUGAAAUGCUUAGAUAUCACGAAGAAAUCCGAUUGCGAAGGCAGUUCACUGGACUGCAAAUGACACUGAGGCUUGAAAGUGUGGGUAUCAAACAGGAUUAGAUACCCGAGUAGUC
rnacentral:rRNA from 1 species